rnacentral:rRNA from 1 species
AUUGAACGCUGGCGGCAUGCCUUACACAUGCAAGUCGAACGGCAGCACGGGUGCUUGCACCUGGUGGCGAGUGGCGAACGGGUGAGUAAUACAUCGGAACAUGUCCUGUAGUGGGGGAUAGCCCGGCGAAAGCCGGAUUAAUACCGCAUACGAUCUACGGAUGAAAGCGGGGGACCUUCGGGCCUCGCGCUAUAGGGUUGGCCGAUAGCUGAUUAGCUAGUUGGUGGGGUAAAGGCCUACCAAGGCGACGAUCAGUAGCUGGUCUGAGAGGACGACCAGCCACACUGGGACUGAGACACGGCCCAGACUCCUACGGGAGGCAGCAGUGGGGAAUUUUGGACAAUGGGCGAAAGCCUGAUCCAGCAAUGCCGCGUGUGUGAAGAAGGCCUUCGGGUUGUAAAGCACUUUUGUCCGGAAAGAAAUCCUUGGCUAUAAUACAGUCGGGGGAUGACGGUACCGGAAGAAUAAGCACCGGCUAACUACGUG